rnacentral:rRNA from 1 species
GACGAACGCUGGCGGCGUGCUUAACACAUGCAAGUCGAACAGUGGCGAACGGGUGAGUAACACGUGAGUAACCUGCCCUCCACUUUGGGAUAACUCCGAGAAAUCGGGGCUAAUACUGUAUAGUGGGUGAUUGGCGCUCGUCCUAUCAGUUUGUUGGUGAGGUAGUGGUCACCAAGGCGUGACGGGUAGCCGGCCUUAGAGGGCGACCGGCCACACUGGGCAUGAGACACGGACCAGACUCCUACGGGAGGCAGCAGUGUGGAAUAUUGCACAAUGGGCGAAAGCCUGAUGCAGCGACGCCGCGUGGGGGAUGACGGCCUUCGGGUUGUAAACCUCUUUCAGCAAGGAAGCGGUACUUGAAGAAGAAGAGCAGGCUAACUACGUGCCAGCCGCCGCGGUAAUAG